rnacentral:lncRNA from 1 species
CUGAGGUGACUUGGAUGUACAGAGUGCUGUUAUUAGCAGUGGUCCUGGCCCUGUCUUGAAUAAACUUGGAUGAUGGAUGAUCAAGACAGCAUUUCAAGUGAGAGAGCUGGAGCGCACACCUGGAAAAGAUCACUUUGCUGAGACAUGAGAAUAGAAGAAUUACCAGACAUGACUUGAUAUGGGAGCAAGAUUGGUUUGAAUGGACAGUUGAGGAACCAGAAAGUGUGAGGAGUUGCCGGAUACACAUUCUGAUGUCUUAAGUUUUGCCCACAGAAGACAGCGCCCUUGCUUC